rnacentral:rRNA from 1 species
GUCAGCAGCCAUAUCAAUAACUGAAGGUGAGUGGGAGUGAGCUUGGUCAGUACCUGGAUGGGAGACCUCCUGGGAAAAACUGAGGUUGCUGCUGAAA